CGGAGCUCAAUAUCAAGAUGUAGAAGCAUUUUAAUCUGAGGGAGGAUGUCAGAAUGCAAAGACAUCCAGUCUGAAUGAUACUCAAGUCUCUCAGAUUCUUCUUCAGAUUUCUGCUGUCAUGAUUAUUUUUACUCUCCUCACUUUUUUGUGGAUGUGUAUUGGGCACACAGAGGCAGAUGCAAUAAAACCCUUGUCACUGAAUGUAAAUAGACGUGUUGGUGACAGUGUUAAUUUGUCCUGUAGCUAUAAAGACUAUACAGCUACUGUACAAAAUUUACAAUGGUACAGACAAUAUCCCAGAUCCAAACCGGAGUUCCUCCUUUAUAUCUUAGAAAAUGGAGCUAUGAGUGAAGACAGACCACCCAGAUUUACUGCUGCAGUUAAAAAAGACAACAAACAAGUGGAUCUGAAGAUCUCUCCUGCUGAAGAGACAGACUCUGCCAUGUACUACUGUGCCCUGGUGCCCACAGUGACAGGAAACCCACAUGCUCUGUACAAAAACUUAAUACCUUAACACAUCUUACAUUAAACAAAAAAUGUGACACCAACUUCUAAUCAUGCACAAUAAAUCAUUGUUGCAACGGUUGUUCUUUUUUUCUCUAAAUCUAAUGAAACAUUGUCAGGUAUUUUCAUUUUUAGAGAAAAACAGCCCAUCAAGAAAGAAGACAAAGCCUCAGCCAGAGGGUGGAGCAAAUUCACAAAGUUGAAUGUUUGAAAGGCUGAUUCAUUUAGAGUCAUCCUGCUUUCAUAGUUUUACAAUCACUAUACAUCAGAAACCAUCAUGUUUCUGUUUUGUUGGAUACCACUGACAUUACUCAUAGGUAAAAACAUUUUUUUAUUGUUUAUUUUAUUAAAAAUAUAUAUUUUAUGUAUUAAAUUGUAUCACAUUGUGAACAAGUUACUUAGUAUCAAUUUAAUUAAUACAAUUGCAUGCAUUUAUUCCAUACAGGAAAUUCCUUUGCUGACACAAUACAGCCAUUGUCUUCUGAAAAACACAUUUCAGAGGUGACAAUGUGACUCUGUCCUGUAACUACAGUGGUUUUGUAUAUGACCUGCAAUGGUAUCGAAAUUUUGGGGGAUUUAGACCAGAAUUCCUGAUACUUGUAAAUGAAAAUUCAGAGGCAUCUGAGCAUUCUCUUCGUCUGUCAGCAAAAGACUCAAAAGAGAAGAAACAAGUGAUUCUUAAAAUCUCUUCUGCUGAAGUGACGUGAUUAUGCUCUGGUA
rnacentral:lncRNA from 1 species